GACGGACGCUGGCGGCGUGCUUAACACAUGCAAGUCGAACGGAAAGGCCCUGCUUUUGUGGGGUGCUCGAGUGGCGAACGGGUGAGUAACACGUGAGUAACCUGCCCUUUACUUUGGGAUAACUUCAGGAAACUGGGGCUAAUACCGGAUAGGAGCUCCUGCUGCAUGGUGGGGGUUGGAAAGUUUCGGCGGUUGGGGAUGGACUCGCGGCUUAUCAGCUUGUUGGUGGGGUAGUGGCUUACCAAGGCUUUGACGGGUAGCCGGCCUGAGAGGGUGACCGGCCACAUUGGGACUGAGAUACGGCCCAGACUCGUACGGGAGGCAGCAGUGGGGAAUAUUGCACAAUGGGCGGAAGCCUGAUGCAGCAACGCCGCGUGCGGGAUGACGGCCUUCGGGUUGUAAACCGCUUUCGCCUGUGACGAAGCGUGAGUGACGGUAAUGGGUAAAGAAGCACCGGCUAACUACGUG
rnacentral:rRNA from 1 species